rnacentral:rRNA from 1 species
AUGGACCAGCACGCCAGAGAUGUUGCUGUCCAGGAUCUCCGGUCGGGAACAUCCCUUGUCCUUGUCACCACCGAUCUUGGUGGCGCCGACACAUUGCAGGUCCCUGUUGUCAUCAACUAUGAUCUGCCAACACAACCAGUACAAUACAUUCGUAAUGUUCAACGAAGUGGACAGCCUGUAGGGAAUGGUGUCGCUAUCAGCUUCAUUGCUUGUGCUGAUGAGCGUGUCCUGUCUGACAUCCAAAGGUUCUGCAAUGCUCAGAUGGUGGGGUUACCUUCCAACGUCGCUGACCUCUUGUGA